rnacentral:rRNA from 1 species
UACGUAGGGUGCAAGCGCUAAUCGGAAUUACUGGGCGUAAAGCGUGCGCAGGCGGUUUUGUAAGUCUGACGUGAAAUCCCCGGGCUCAACCUGGGAAUUGCGUUGGAGACUGCAAGGCUAGAAUCUGGCAGAGGGGGGUAGAAUUCCACGGGUAGCAGUGAAAUGCGUAGAGAUGUGGAGGAACACCGAUGGCGAAGGCAGCCCCCUGGGAUAACACUGACGCUCAUGCACGAAAGCGUGGGGAGCAAACAGG